rnacentral:rRNA from 1 species
UGAUUUGGCUCAGGACGAACGCUGGCGGCGCGCCUAACACGUGCAAGUCGAACGAGAGAUGAGGAGCUUGCUCUUCAAAUCGAGUGGCGAACGGGUGAGUAACGCGUGAGGAACCUGCCUCAAAGAGGGGGACAACAGUUGGAAACGACUGCUAAUACCGCAUAAGCCCACGGCUCGGCAUCGAGCAGAGGGAAAAGGAGCAAUCCGCUUUGAGAUGGCCUCGCGCCCGAUUAGCUAGUUGGUGAGGUAAUGGCCCACCAAGGCAACGAUCGGUAGCCGGACUGAGAGGUUGAACGGCCACAUUGGGACUGAGACACGGCCCAGACUCCUACGGGAGGCAGCAGUGGGGAAUAUUGCACAAUGGGGGAAACCCUGAUGCAGCGACGCCGCGUGGAGGAAGAAGGUCUUCGGAUUGUAAACUCCUGUUGUUGAGGAAGAUAAUGACGGUACUCAACAAGGAAGUGACGGCUAACUACGUGCCAGCAGCCGCGGUAAAACGUAGGUCACAAGCGUUGUCCGGAAUUACUGGGUGUAAAGGGAGCGCAGGCGGGAGAACAAGUUGGAAGUGAAAUCCAUGGGCUCAACCCAUGAACUGCUUUCAAAACUGUUUUUCUUGAGUAGUGCAGAGGUAGGCGGAAUUCCCGGUGUAGCGGUGGAAUGCGUAGAUAUCGGGAGGAACACCAGUGGCGAAGGCGGCCUACUGGGCACCAACUGACGCUGAGGCUCGAAAGUGUGGGUAGCAAACAGGAUUAGAUACCCUGGUAGUCCACACCGUAAACGAUGAUUACUAGGUGUUGGAGGAUUGACCCCUUCAGUGCCGCAGUUAACACAAUAAGUAAUCCACCUGGGGAGUACGACCGCAAGGU